rnacentral:rRNA from 1 species
GGCGUGCUUAACACAUGCAAGUCGAACGGAUGAAAUAAGCUUGCUUAUUUCGUUAGUGGCGCACGGGUGAGUAAUGUAUAGCUAACCUGCCCUUUAGUGGGGGACAACAGUUGGAAACGACUGCUAAUACCCCAUAUUCCUUCUUAUCAUAAGGUAAGUUGGGAAAGAUUUUAUUGCUAAAGGAUGGGGCUUUAUGGUAUCAGCUAGUUGGUGGGGUAACGGCCUACCAAGGCUAUGACGCCUACCUGGUCUGAGAGGAUGAUCAGGCACACUGGAACUGAGACACGGUCCAGACUCCUACGGGAGGCAGCAGUGGGGAAUAUUGCACAAUGGAGGAAACUCUGAUGCAGCAACGCCGCGUGGAGGAUGACGCAUUUCGGUGUGUAAACUCCUUUAUAAGGAAGAUAAUGACGGUACCUUAUGAAUAAGCACCGGCUAACUCCGUGCCAGCAGCCGCGGUAAUACGGAGGUG